CACCGCCCGUCACACCAUGGGAGUUGGUUUUACCUGAAGACGGUGCGCUAACCCGCAAGGGAGGCAGCCGGCCACGGUAGGGUCAGCGACUGGGGUGAAGUCGUAACAAGGUAGCCGUAGGGGAACCUGCGGCUGGAUCACCUCCUUUCUAAGGAUGAUCCUUCAGCGAGCUCACGCUCACUAUCGGAUCGUUUUAGAAACAUCAGUGGCCAACAGAUCGCCAGAUCGUUGAGCUGCAUUGGCGGGAUUUCGCCGUCUUCGUUUCUCUUUCUUCGCGGACGAACACGCGCUGGGCCUGCAUAAAGCAGGAUCCCACGGUCCCUGACGGGAUAUGCGUUAGGGGCUUGUAGCUCAGUUGGUUAGAGCGCGCGCUUGAUAAGCGUGAGGUCGGAAGUUCAAGUCUUCCCAGGCCCACCACUUUCAUCGAGUGAGCAUUCGUCUUCUGGUUACGGGGCCAUAGCUCAGCUGGGAGAGCGCGUGCUUUGCAAGCAUGAGGUCGUCGGUUCGAUCCCGUCUGGCUCCACCAGAUGGUUUGAUCACCGAGAUCUUGCACCGUCGUCCGCGAAACAUCACUUCGCAUCUCGCUAGUCUGGAUAGACAGCAAGAUGCGUGUUUUCUGACAUCGUAAAGAGGAGAUCGAUCCGAGUUGGAUCGUGCGGCAGAUUGUUGCGCGAAUCCUUCAUUAUCUCCGGAUCAUUUUCGGCGCUCGCCUUCAGCCGUGAGGUUGAAUGCGAGUUGUAAAAUGAUCCUUUUAGCGAAGCUUGACCGCCUCGCUAUCGGAACGAUCUUACGAAGCAAGCUGGUCUUUCUAGUCAAUGUCCGGCUGCACGUAGCAUUCAUCGAGGGUGCGCGCCGAAAGGCAAUCGUGCAGACAACAUUCUGCCGAGUGUGUGGACAUUGAUAAUGAGAGCAAUCAAGUGCCUUAAGGGGUGUUCGGUGGAUGCCUUGGCGCUGAAAA
rnacentral:misc_RNA from 1 species